rnacentral:pre_miRNA from 1 species
UCUUAUGGAUGAGCAAAGAAAGCAUUUUCUGGAGAUGGAAUCUACUUCUAGUGAAGAUGCUGCGAA